AUUCAGCGCGGGCCAGGAAGGGAAGAGGUGCUUCCCCCCUUCCUCCCGCACGGCGAGGAGGGGAGGGGAGGGGAUGGGACGCGACGGGAUGGCGGCGGGGGUCCCAGCCCCGGCACCCCGCGCUCUCGCCCUGUCCACUCGCCCUUUUACCUCCGCCCUCCCUCUGUCCGUCCCCUCCCGGCCCCUCGGCUGUCCCAGCGGCGGGGAUACGGGCAGAGCCGGGGGCCAGACCCAAAGGUCAAUUUUAGGACUGUGCAGUUUACAGUGUAAGUUAAAGGAAAAAAAAAAAAAAAGCUGCUUGGCAGUAGCCGAGGGUUGUCCUUCGUAGUUUGUAGUACAAAGCAAUCUCCUAUGGCAUGCAGUUUGAGCAGAGGAGGGAGGAGGGAGCACGAACAGUGCCAAGACAAUACACAACCACUCUGUGGACAUCUGCCAUGUAGAGCCAGCUGCGGCUGGGACUUUGGUCGGAUCUGCCAACAUGUGAAAACUGCGUCGAGGGAUAGAAGGGAUAUCCGAAGACAUGGAAAUGUGCUCUUGCACUUGCAUGUUGAUAGACCAGAGGAGAAAAACUGUGCAACUAUUUCUGUUAACAGUGCUUCAUGGCAUUUUCUAAACAAGCUAUUUGGGAUAAGAUGUCAGAAAACUGCAUGCAGUCAGUACUAGAUCCACCCCCAGAUCUGCCUAUCACAGUUCGUGUCUUGAAGCUUUUUAGUACUGUGAGUAAGCUGAAUUUAACUUGAUGUGAUCAAUGAUUUUGUUCCUCUAAAUGACUUGCCGGUAUGUCUUGAUUCAACAUUAAAAUACACUUUGAUUG